GACAGAGGGUGCAAACGUUGUUCGGAAUUACUGGGCGUAAAGCGCGUGUAGGCGGCUCUGCAAGUCAGGUGUGAAAUCCCACGGCUCAAUCAUGGAAGUGCACUUGAAACUGCAGGGCUAGAGUCCUGGAGAGGAAGGUGGAAUGCUUGGUGUAGAGGUGAAAUUCGUAGAUAUCAAGCGGAACACCGGUGGCGAAGGCGGCCUUCUGGACAGUGACUGACGCUGAGACGCGAAAGCGUGGGGAGCAAACAGG
rnacentral:rRNA from 1 species